rnacentral:rRNA from 1 species
ACACAUGCAAGUCGAACGAUUGAAGCUGGAGCUUGCUCCGGCCGAUUUAGUGGCGGACGGGUGAGUAACGCGUGGGUAACCUGCCUCAUACAGGGGGAUAGCAGUUGGAAACGACUGGUAAAACCGCAUAAGCGCACGGUAUCGCAUGAUACAGUGUGAAAACACUCCGGUGGUAUGAGAUGGACCCGCGUCUGAUUAGCUAGUUGGUGAGGUAACGGCCCACCAAGGCGACGAUCAGUAGCCGGCCUGAGAGGGUGAACGGCCACAUUGGGACUGAGACACGGCCCAAACUCCUACGGGAGGCAGCAGUGGGGAAUAUUGCACAAUGGGGGAAACCCUGAUGCAGCGACGCCGCGUGAGUGAUGAAGUAUUUCGGUAUGUAAAGCUCUAUCAGCAGGGAAGAUAAUGACGGUACCUGGCUAAGAAGCACCGGCUAAAUACGUGCCAGCAGCCGCGGUAAUACGUAUGGUGCAAGCGUUAUCCGGAUUUACUGGGUGUAAAGGGUGCGUAGGUGGCAAGGCAAGUCUGAAGUGAAAAUCCGGGGCUCAACCCCGGAACUGCUUUGGAAACUGUUUAGCUGGAGUACAGGAGAGGUAAGUGGAAUUCCUAGUGUAGCGGUGAAAUGCGUAGAUAUUAGGAGGAACACCAGUGGCGAAGGCGACUUACUGGACUGCUACUGACACUGAGGCACGAAAGCGUGGGGAGCAAACAGGAUUAGAUACCCUGGUAGUCCAUGCCGUAAACGAUGAAUACUAGGUGUUGGGUUCCAAAGGAACUCGGUGCCGUCGCAAACGCAUUAAGUAUUCCACCUGGGGAGUACGCUCGCA